rnacentral:miRNA from 3 species
UGCCUACUGAGCUGAUAACAGU